rnacentral:misc_RNA from 1 species
AAGUCGUAACAAGGUUUCCGUAGGUGAACCUGCGGAAGGAUCAUUACAAAUCUUUAGAGGCCCAAUUUUUUUUUUUUGGGUCUAUAUGUCCGAGGCAGCAAUGCUUCGUUACAUUUACGCUUGUAUGUUUGACAAAGUUAGUGUGAAUCUUAAUAUAUACAACUUUUAACAAUGGAUCUCUUGGCUCUU